rnacentral:rRNA from 1 species
AUGGGCGAACCGCAAUUUAUCAUCGGCACCCCCAUGAGCGAUAUGCUCGCCGGCAUGGAGCGCGACGGCCGGGACCCUGCGACGCUCGACCUUGGCUCAAACUAUCUGCUCUACUUCCUGUACGACUACCUCCCGCACCCGCCGGUCUCCCCCGCCGCCACCCGCUCGCUCUCCGGCGUGCCGUGGGCCCCGGGAGGCUUGGACCGCAUCAGCCGCCUCCCCGAUGCGCUCCUCGCCGAAAUCCUCUCCCGCCUCCCCGCCAAGGACGCCGCGCGCACCUCCGCCCUCGCCUCGCGCUGGCGCCCCCUUUGGCGCUCGGCGCCCCUCUCUCUCGUCGACGGCCAUCUGCUUCCGGACGGCGGCGCGGCCGGGCAGCUCCCCAUCGGCGUUCCCUCUCCCCGUGCCGUCACCGCCGCGGUGUCCCGCAUCCUCGCGGCGCAUCCGGGGCCCUUCCGCUGCGUCCACCUCACCCGCACCACCAUGGAGGAGCACCGGGGCGAGAUAUCGCGCUGGCUCGACAUCCUCGUCGCCAAGGGGGUCCAAGAGCUCGUCUUUGUGAACCGCCCUUGGCCGAUUGACCUGCGCCUCCCCGCCACGCUCUUCGGCUGCGCCUCCCUCACCCGCCUCUAUCUUGGCCUCUGGAGGCUCCCGGACACCGCCGCCGUACCUUGCGGCGCCAGAUUCCCCAACCUCAAGGAGCUCGGCCUCUGCAUGACUGUCAUGGAGGACCGUGAUCUAGCAUUCAUGCUGGAAAGAUGCCCCGUCCUGGAGUUCCUCGUCCUCAUGGGAAGCCAGACCGGAGUGCGCCUCCGCCUGGUCAGCCAGAGACUGCGCUGCGUUCAGCUUGGCCAUGCCUUAUUGGAGUACAUCGACGUGGUGGAUGCCCCUAGCCUGGAGAGGCUCUUCUUUUGGGAAAUUGUCCCCCCUGGCAAGCUCAAGUCCUUCAGGAAGAGGAACAACGACAACGGCUCUUCCAUGAUCAAGAUUGGCCGUGCACCUAACCUCCGUGUGCUGGGAUACAUUCAGCCAGGACAGCAAGAGUUGGGGAUUAACAACACCGUCGUCGUGGCUGGUAGCAAGGAGAAGAUUGUCCCUAGUGUCAAGAUUUUGGCCAUGGAGGUGCAGUUCGGUGACCGCAAUGCUGUCAAGAAAGUGCCCGGCUUUCUCCGAUGUUUCCCCAACCUGGAGACGCUCCAUGUCUAUGUAAAAUUGGUUAACUUUACUACUUAUUGCAUUGGCAGUUUUGCAAUACUAUGUUAUACUAGCAUGUCCCCUAGCAUAUCUGAAGAGUCCACUGGCAAGGUCAGUCCCAAGUUCUGGCAGGAGGGCGGUCCCAUCAAAUGCGUGGUGCAGAGCAUGAAGAAGGUGUUCUUCUACGAGUUCCAUGGGUCGAGAAGCGAGGUUGCUUUCCUCAAGUUCAUCGCGGAGAAUGGUCGGGUGCUGGAGCAGAUGGUGCUUUUGGUGGCCAACGAAUGUUUCUCCUCUGGCAAUGAUAAUGUGAGGGCCAAGCUGAAGCCUCUGGCGAGCGUGAAAUGGAACAACCAGGCUUGCAAAGUACAGCUCUUCAAGAGCCGGCGCACUAACCCUGGAGGUCCUGUUUACAGCAACAAGAUAGCUUCUGACUUUGGGUUUGCUGACCCUUUUGACCUCCUCGGGCACUACUAG